ACGAAGGGUGCAAGCGUUACUCGGAAUUACUGGGCGUAAAGCGUGCGUAGGCGGUUUGUUAAGUCCGUUGUGAAAGCCCUGGGCUCAACCUGGGAAUUGCAGUGGAUACUGGCGAGCUAGAGUACGGUAGAGGGGGAUGGAAUUCCGCGUGUAGCAGUGAAAUGCGUAGAUAUGCGGAGGAACACCGAUGGCGAAGGCAAUCCCCUGGACCUGUACUGACGCUCAUGCACGAAAGCGUGGGGAGCAAACAGGA
rnacentral:rRNA from 1 species